CAUUAAGUAGCUUAAAGCAAGCACUGGUCUCUUAAACCAAAUUAUAGUAAAUUAGCACUUACUCUUAAUGA
rnacentral:tRNA from 1 species